UUGUGAGGUUAAGCGACUAAGCGUACACGGUGGAUGCCCUGGCAGUCAGAGGCGAUGAAGGACGUGCUAAUCUGCGAUAAGCGUCGGUGAGGUGAUAUGAACCGUUAUAACCGGCGAUUUCCGAAUGGGGAAACCCAGUGUGUUUCGACACACUAUCAUUAACUGAAUCCAUAGGUUAAUGAGGCGAACCGGGGGAACUGAAACAUCUAAGUACCCCGAGGAAAAGAAAUCAACCGAGAUUCCCCCAGUAGCGGCGAGCGAACGGGGAGGAGCCCAGAGCCUGAAUCAGUGUGUGUGUUAGUGGAAGCGUCUGGAAAGGCGCGCGAUACAGGGUGACAGCCCCGUACACAAAAAUGCACAUGCUGUGAGCUCGAUGAGUAGGGCGGGACACGUGGUAUCCUGUCUGAAUAUGGGGGGACCAUCCUCCAAGGCUAAAUACUCCUGACUGACCGAUAGUGAACCAGUACCGUGAGGGAAAGGCGAAAAGAACCCCGGCGAGGGGAGUGAAAAAGAACCUGAAACCGUGUACGUACAAGCAGUGGGAGCCUCUUUAUGGGGUGACUGCGUACCUUUUGUAUAAUGGGUCAGCGACUUAUAUUCUGUAGCAAGGUUAACCGAAUAGGGGAGCCGAAGGGAAACCGAGUCUUAACUGGGCGUUAAGUUGCAGGGUAUAGACCCGAAACCCGGUGAUCUAGCCAUGGGCAGGUUGAAGGUUGGGUAACACUAACUGGAGGACCGAACCGACUAAUGUUGAAAAAUUAGCGGAUGACUUGUGGCUGGGGGUGAAAGGCCAAUCAAACCGGGAGAUAGCUGGUUCUCCCCGAAAGCUAUUUAGGUAGCGCCUCGUGAAUUCAUCUCCGGGGGUAGAGCACUGUUUCGGCAAGGGGGUCAUCCCGACUUACCAACCCGAUGCAAACUGCGAAUACCGGAGAAUGUUAUCACGGGAGACACACGGCGGGUGCUAACGUCCGUCGUGAAGAGGGAAACAACCCAGACCGCCAGCUAAGGUCCCAAAGUCAUGGUUAAGUGGGAAACGAUGUGGGAAGGCCCAGACAGCCAGGAUGUUGGCUUAGAAGCAGCCAUCAUUUAAAGAAAGCGUAAUAGCUCACUGGUCGAGUCGGCCUGCGCGGAAGAUGUAACGGGGCUAAACCAUGCACCGAAGCUGCGGCAGCGACGCUUAUGCGUUGUUGGGUAGGGGAGCGUUCUGUAAGCCUGUGAAGGUGUGCUGUGAGGCAUGCUGGAGGUAUCAGAAGUGCGAAUGCUGACAUAAGUAACGAUAAAGCGGGUGAAAAGCCCGCUCGCCGGAAGACCAAGGGUUCCUGUCCAACGUUAAUCGGGGCAGGGUGAGUCGACCCCUAAGGCGAGGCCGAAAGGCGUAGUCGAUGGGAAACAGGUUAAUAUUCCUGUACUUGGUGUUACUGCGAAGGGGGGACGGAGAAGGCUAUGUUGGCCGGGCGACGGUUGUCCCGGUUUAAGCGUGUAGGCUGGUUUUCCAGGCAAAUCCGGAAAACCAAGGCUGAGGCGUGAUGACGAGGCACUACGGUGCUGAAGCGACAAAUGCCCUGCUUCCAGGAAAAGCCUCUAAGCAUCAGGUAACAUCAAAUCGUACCCCAAACCGACACAGGUGGUCAGGUAGAGAAUACCAAGGCGCUUGAGAGAACUCGGGUGAAGGAACUAGGCAAAAUGGUGCCGUAACUUCGGGAGAAGGCACGCUGAUAUGUAGGUGAAGCGACUUGCUCGUGGAGCUGAAAUCAGUCGAAGAUACCAGCUGGCUGCAACUGUUUAUUAAAAACACAGCACUGUGCAAACACGAAAGUGGACGUAUACGGUGUGACGCCUGCCCGGUGCCGGAAGGUUAAUUGAUGGGGUUAGCGGCAACGCGAAGCUCUUGAUCGAAGCCCCGGUAAACGGCGGCCGUAACUAUAACGGUCCUAAGGUAGCGAAAUUCCUUGUCGGGUAAGUUCCGACCUGCACGAAUGGCGUAAUGAUGGCCAGGCUGUCUCCACCCGAGACUCAGUGAAAUUGAACUCGCUGUGAAGAUGCAGUGUACCCGCGGCAAGACGGAAAGACCCCGUGAACCUUUACUAUAGCUUGACACUGAACAUUGAGCCUUGAUGUGUAGGAUAGGUGGGAGGCUUUGAAGUGUGGACGCCAGUCUGUAUGGAGCCGACCUUGAAAUACCACCCUUUAAUGUUUGAUGUUCUAACGUUGGCCCGUAAUCCGGGUUGCGGACAGUGUCUGGUGGGUAGUUUGACUGGGGCGGUCUCCUCCUAAAGAGUAACGGAGGAGCACGAAGGUUGGCUAAUCCUGGUCGGACAUCAGGAGGUUAGUGCAAUGGCAUAAGCCAGCUUGACUGCGAGCGUGACGGCGCGAGCAGGUGCGAAAGCAGGUCAUAGUGAUCCGGUGGUUCUGAAUGGAAGGGCCAUCGCUCAACGGAUAAAAGGUACUCCGGGGAUAACAGGCUGAUACCGCCCAAGAGUUCAUAUCGACGGCGGUGUUUGGCACCUCGAUGUCGGCUCAUCACAUCCUGGGGCUGAAGUAGGUCCCAAGGGUAUGGCUGUUCGCCAUUUAAAGUGGUACGCGAGCUGGGUUUAGAACGUCGUGAGACAGUUCGGUCCCUAUCUGCCGUGGGCGCUGGAGAACUGAGGGGGGCUGCUCCUAGUACGAGAGGACCGGAGUGGACGCAUCACUGGUGUUCGGGUUGUCAUGCCAAUGGCACUGCCCGGUAGCUAAAUGCGGAAGAGAUAAGUGCUGAAAGCAUCUAAGCACGAAACUUGCCCCGAGAUGAGUUCUCCCUGACUCCUUGAGGGUCCUGAAGGAACGUUGAAGACGACGACGUUGAUAGGCCGGGUGUGUAAGCGCAGCGAUGCGUUGAGCUAACCGGUACUAAUGAACCGUGAGGCUUAACCUUACAACGCCGAAG
rnacentral:rRNA from 1 species